ACGAUUUCCUGUGUGUGACAUAUUGUUUCUAGUUGACCUGAAAAAGCUGAUCACAACGAACUAGGAUGACGAGGAAAGUUUUUCUUAAACAACAUGAAAGUAACCAUAAAAAAGGUGAAACACUCGGUUCUCAAGACGUUUAACUUUCCUUAUUCAAAUUAGUAAUUAAAGAUAAUGUUGCAAGUAUAAAUUCGUCAAGCCUCACCAUGCUUCCUUGGGGUGUUGCUGAUGUACUUAAUAAUUGUCUAUCAGCUCCUCUCUUGUUUAAAUGUAACAAGACAGAAGCAAAACCUUGACUGGCAUUUAGUUAUUCUCUUUUCUUGUGUCUUGGAAAUCAGCAGUACUUUUACCAUAGACGUCGGGCACUAAAUUUGUCCAAAAGCCCAGCCCCCUCCCUCACCCUUGCUGCAAGGUAACACAGCCCGUAUUCUUGAGCGUAACGGCACCUUUGCCGCCCCCUCCCUCACCCUUGCUGCAAGGUAACACAGCCCGUAUUCUUGAGCGUAUCGGCACCAUCGCACGCCUGUUUGAAGAGCCUCUCGUAGAAGUAGUUGGGAUAUUCAUGGACUGUUUUGUGAUCCUAGUGAUAGAUUCAUCCGACUUCUGAAUUUUGAAUCACCCAUGAGAACCCGGUUAAUCUUCUCUGCGGCCUUGGAAAAUGGUCGUAAUGGGAGCCCGAUACAUUUCAGAUUAUGGACCUAUAUGGACGCCUCAACCCAACCUCCUUUCUUCCAUCUAGUCAGCUCCCAUCGUUAUGGCAGAGGCUGCGGUGUUUCUGGGUUAUGUUAGUGCACAUAGAGAGACUAUAGUGCUGACGAAUCACUCCUAAUACCUUCUACACGUUGUCUCC